rnacentral:lncRNA from 1 species
AUGAGGAUGAUUUGUGGGUCCUACUAUUGGCCCAAAGAAGACAAACUGAAGCCAGAAGGCGAUGACGCCCACUUCAUAUGUGCACAAGAGCAGACUAUUGGUAUGGCAGAUGGCGUUGGUGGUUGGGCAAAGCAUGGUGUAGAUGCUGGCCAGUACGCAAGAGAACUCAUGUGCAACUCGAUCAUGUCGGUCCAAAAACAAACCAUUGUUGACCCAAGAAGGGUUUUGAACGAAGCUUAUGCAGACACCAAGUGUGAAGGGUCCUCAACCGCUUGCAUUGUCACGCUUAGAGAAACAGGAGUCUUGCACUUUGUCAACGUUGGGGAUAGUGGUUUGAUGGUGUUUAGAAACUACAAACUCUUGUACAUGUCUCCUCGUGAACAGCGUAGUUUUAACUGUCCGUAUCAACUGGGCAACAGCAGAGGCAGUGAUAAUCCUCGUAGCGCAACAGAGAUCGAAAUUAGAGUAUUUCCAGGGGAUAUUGUAGUGCUUGGGACUGAUGGAUUGUGGGACAACAUGUACCCGAAUGAGAUAGAGCAAGUUGUUCUGGGAAACAUGAGAGAAAGUCGUGUGAUGAAGUCGCAGGCGUUGGCUUGUCUUUUGGCAGAUUUGGCUUGGCUUAGGUCUCUGGACAAGGACAGCUUUAGUCCUUAUUCAAAAGCGGCUCAGGAGGCUGGAAAGAAUCAUCCAGGAGGCAAGAAGGACGACAUUACUGUUGUAGUAGGUCAUAUUAUGGUGACUUCCCCGGUCUGCUCUUGUGUAGAGGAUUUCGUGGAUAGACCUCUUGAAAUCAUAUGGGAUAACACAAAACCAGUGGAGCGGGCGACCUCCACUCCCUGGUGA